ACUUGAACGCGUUCAAUAAUACUUCAAAUGUCAUUCGAUUAAGAUUCCAAACAUUUCGAACCAAAUUUUAGGUAGAAUCAUGGAUGAAAACUUCAUUUCAUUAGCACCAAACAGCGAAAAUACCAAACGGAAGUUCUGGUCAUUGCGCUUGCGUAAAACUGUGAUUGACGACAAAGAUGAGGAAACUAAAUUUAUAGAGGAAAAUAACACAAGUAAAUGGAAGAAUCGAAUGAGAGUAGGAAAGACUACAAUGAAGAAUAGAAAACAAAGUCGAUUGUCAAUUUGGAAAAGUUGGUUUCUUGCGUUACUCAAGUCCAAAUCAAACAUAAAGAGAAAUAGUUUUGAAGAAUUGAAAGCUUCAGAAUUGGUUGAUUUAAACUGUAUACCUUCAUACACGAAAUUUUGCGAAUCUUUUGAUCUUGAUACUGACUCCAUUUUGAAAUCGUUUCAAAAUGCUUCGCCAGUGUCAAACAAGGAAGAAUCAUCUAAUGACUUGGGAAUGGCUAUUACUCUUCCUGGAGGUGUUAAAGGGAAGGAUAUCAAGGUUGAUGUGGAGCUGAAAGUUUCGCCAAAAGACCACAAUACAAAUCAAUCUGAAAACAAUUUUACAAAAGGAUUGCACUUGAUACAAAGCGACCA